UUACAUAUUUAUGGGUACUAUAUUCACUCAUAUGUGGGUAAAUGCAAUUAUACCAAUAUUAUUAGUAAAACUUACCCAAAAUAUUGGUGAAAUUUACUGAUAUUCUGAAGAAAUAGACUUUACCUAUAUUUGGGUAAUCGCAUUUACCCAUAUUUGGAUGAAAAAAUGAACAUAAAUAAAUAAAGCAGAACUAAUGGCCGCCUCGUGAAAGUCGCCGUCGUCACAACAGUUUAUAAAUUCAUCCCUUUCUUUCAUUGUUCAACCCAGUCAAAGCCGGUAUCUAUCAACGUACCUAGUUCCGAGUGUUCUUCAUAUGAGAUUGGAACUUCUCGAAGAUCUCCAGUUCCGACCAAACAGCACCAUAUCGACCUCCAUGCAUGCGGCCAAAACGGAUACUAGUUCCUAAUCGAUCGGCGGAGAUUUCAUUGUCGAAGCUGUGAGCCCCUGACCCCAAACGGUUCCACAUUCUUAGGAAGUGCCAGUGCUUCGGAUUGUUUCGCAACAGUUCCAGUGAGCUAAUUGAUUUUGCAACAGAAAGGUCUUGACGAUGUUGUUCCGACAUGCAUGCUACCUACCGUCUUGGUCUCAGUUUUGGUGUUCCCGAUCAUCAAUUUGGAAGUGGCCGUGAUGGCAUCAAGAAGCACAGAUCCAGUUAAUUCGAAAAGGAAAUGGAACGUGAGUGCGAAAGGGGUGCGGGUACGGGUGCAGUAGUUCCUGUUUGUACCAAAAAUUUUGUUUGCUAUUAUCCGAUGCUGCUCCUGAAGAAACCUCCGGAUUGAUAGGAUUGAUCACCAAUUCCGCAUUGGCAUGCCGUAAAACAUCCACACCGGCAUUGCGUUUAUGUUGUCAGCUAACUUAUGUUUCGGUGUUCCGUUCGUUCCACUCGAGGUUCCACCAUACUGAUACGACGCUGCUACUAAGGGAUGUCCUGUCCUGGGAUCUGUUCCUGCGGUUCCUGCUGAUGAUUAUACAGUAGCAGUCAAGCAUCCGGCAACAUAAAGGUUUGAAAAUAAUCAUACCUUAUAUAUGUACUAUAUAAUGAGUCAUAAAUUCAGAUAAAUAAAAUAUUUUACUUUAUAUUCAUAUAACCAAUCAAUU